rnacentral:rRNA from 1 species
UGAGUAACCUGCCCUUAACUCUGGGAUAAGCCUGGGAAACUGGGUCUAACACCGGAUAUGACUCCUCAUCGCAUGGUGGGGGGUGGAAAGCUUUAUUGUGGUUUUGGAUGGACUCGCGGCCUAUCAGCUUGUUGGUGAGGUAAUGGCUCACCAAGGCGACGACGGGUAGCCGGCCUGAGAGGGUGACCGGCCACACUGGGACUGAGACACGGCCCAGACUCCUACGGGAGCAG